rnacentral:rRNA from 1 species
AUACGUAGGUGACAAGCGUUAUCCGGAUUUACUGGGCGUAAAGGGCGUGUAGGCGGUCUUGCAAGUCAGAAGUGAAAUUCCUGAGCUCAACUCGGGCGCUGCUUCUGAAACUGCAGGACUUGAGUGCUGGAGGGGAUAGCGGAAUUCCUCGUGGAGCGGUAAAAUGCGCAGAUAUUAGGAAGAACACCGGUGGCGAAGGCGGCUAUCUGGACAGUAACUGACGCUGAGGCGCGAAAGCGUGGGGAGCAAACAGGAUUAGAUACUCUGGUAGUCCACGCCGUAAACGAUGAAUACUAGGUGUAGGGGGUAUCGACUCCCUCUGUGCCGCAGUUAACACAAUAAGUAUUCCGCCUGGGGAGUACGGCCGCAAGGUUGAAACUCAAAUGAAUUGACGGGG